GGGGUCGUAGCCUAGCCUGGUAGGGCGACUGUGACUACCCGUAGGUCGUCGGUUCGAUUCCGAUCGGCCCCA
rnacentral:tRNA from 1 species